AACUGUCUUUCAAGCAUCUCGAGUAAGAAAUUAAUAUCCCUUUCAGCAACUCUGGUACCAUCAUAGAUACGUUGUUGAGAAAGUGUCACAUAUUGGAAACCUGUGGUUUACACCAAUGUGGUGACUGGAAAAUAGUUCACUGGAAAAAAACAAGCACCAAAGGAGGGGGGAGAGAAGUUAGCAAAACAGAAGGAAAAAAAUAAUUGUACAUAUAACUAUACAAUCACCCAUGGCCCAAGCGAAGUCAAACUAGUGCCCUGUGCUUUUAGGUCUUCUUCAUAUAUUUAAUUCUGCAAGGCUAGCAUGAUAUAUCAUAAAAAAUAUCAGUAAUAUAUAACCAACAAAAUAAUAUAAUAAAUUAUUUUUUGGACAGGCCAUUGUACCGGUUUAUAUAUUUUAACCAUAAAAUCAGGAUAUCAGAUAAAUAUUAAACAGACUAACCAAUGAAGAAAAAACAUCAAAAGACAAAUAUCUUAAACACCAAAAGAGUCUUCGCAAUACCUGUUGAAAGAAGUGGCAAGCCUCGGCCUCCUUGGAGUCUACCAUUCUCUGUAAUAUAAUCAAACAGUUGACCUGAAGUCAUGUACUCCAUGACCACAUAACAUGACCACAUAAAUGGUUGACCGAGUCUCUAUGACCUCAAAAAGGUGUACGACAUGUGGAUGUGAGAGUAGCCGCAGUAUAUUGAUUUCUCGUUUUACUGAAACAACACCAAUAUGAGGAAAGGAUGACACAAAAAAUGCAAUAUAGAUCAGAGAAACAGCUUUAGGUGUGAAUUAAUAUCUUAAAAAUAGAAAAAAAAAAAAUGAUGGAAACAGUAAACACCGGGAAGCUUAGAAGAACAUUACCCAGGAAUUGCUAGUAUAAUUGUAUAAGACCUAGUACGCCUUGCUAGUAUAAUUGUAUAUUAAUACCAUUUCUCAAUUUGACUUGCACAACACCUAGCAAGGGACUACCUUGUCGAAUACUAUGACAUAUAUUCUUGUACCCACA
rnacentral:lncRNA from 1 species